AAUCAACGCUGGCGGCGUGCCUCAGACAUGCAAGUCGAACGCGAAAGCCCUUCGGGUGAGUAGAGUGGCGCACGGGUGAGUAACACGUAGGUAAUCUACCUUUGGGUGGGGAAUAACGACCGGAACGGUCGCUAAUACCGCAUAAUGCAGCGGCACCACAUGGUGACAGUUGUUAAAGACGGGGGAGUCGUAAGACCUCGCGCCUGGAGAUGAGCCUGCGGCGGAUUAGCUAGUUGGCAGGGUAACGGCCUACCAAGGCGACGAUCCGUAGCCGGCCUGAGAGGGCGGACGGCCACACUGGC
rnacentral:rRNA from 1 species